GCGCGAAAACUUUACAAUGCUGGCAACAGCGAUAAGGGAACCUCGAGUGCCAGGUUACAAAUCUGGCUGUCGGGAUGCCUAAAAAGCAUUUCAUAGCAAGGGCCGGGCAAGACCGGUGCCAGCCGCCGCGGUAACACCGGCGGCUCGAGUGGUAACCGUUAUUAUUGGGUCUAAAGGGUCUGUAGCCGGCCAGAUAAGUCUCUUGGGAAAUCUGGCAGCUCAACUGUCAGGCUUUCAGGAGAUACUGUCUGGCUCGAGGCCGGGAGAGGUGAGAGGUACUUCAGGGGUAGGGGUGAAAUCUCGUAAUCCUUGAAGGACCACCAGUGGCGAAGGCGUCUCACCAGAACGGACCUGACGGCAAGGGACGAAAGCUAGGGGCACGAACCG
rnacentral:rRNA from 1 species